UACGAAGGGGGCUAGCGUUGUUCGGAAUUACUGGGCGUAAAGCGCGUGUAGGCGGGUCUUUAAGUCAGGGGUGAAAUGCCAAGGCUCAACCUUGGAACUGCCUUUGAUACUGGAGACCUUGAGUCCGGGAGAGGUGAGUGGAAUUGCGAGUGUAGAGGUGAAAUUCGUAGAUAUUCGCAAGAACACCAGUGGCGAAGGCGGCUCACUGGCCCGGAACUGACGCUGAGACGCGAAAGCGUGGGGAAGCAAACAGG
rnacentral:rRNA from 1 species